rnacentral:misc_RNA from 1 species
CCUCCCUCAUUGAUUUCGAUUAGUGGGGUUGUAGAUUGCUUUGUCAUGGUGUACAACACGGCAUUGGUCGAAAAUUUUGUGUCAUGGCUAAAGUUGUGUAUGAAUUGGCAACACUGUGUUUAUUAAAUUAUUUGACUAAAUUUGUGUUUUAAUGAGCUUUGGAAAUUGUGAGAUAAAAUUGUGAAAUAUUUAAAUUGUGAUUUGUCAAUGAAUGUUUUAUAUUAAGCGUUUGUGAAAUAUUUAAAAUAUGAUUUGAAAUUGUGAAACAUAAUUGUAAAAGGUUUUAAUUAUGACUUGCCAAUGCAUGUUUUAUUUACAGUAUUUUAAGUUUUAUUAUGCACCACUGAGUAAAUUUAUACUCAGCGAUAGCUUCCUUUGCUGUCGCAGAUAGAGAAAAGGACAUAGCAGCAGAGUGAGCUGCUACAAUAAGAGAGGAGCGCGGUUUUGGAGAUUUUUGUACUGGUAUUUAUCGAUACCCUUGUAAUUAUUUUGAUGUAAAUAGUUUAGAGUCGUAUGUAUUAAUGUAACAUUGAGCAGCUGUACAGUAAAUUGUAAUAAUAUUAUCUUUUGGAUUUUUAUGUCUGUAAAUUAAAUUAUAUAUGUAAAUUUAAUUUAAUGCAAUGUUUAUGAGUUUAUCGAAUUAUUUUGAAAAAAAUUUUGAGUUGUGAAUUUUGAAUUGAAACUUGAUUGAAUUGUAUUGAUUUGAGAAUAUAUUGGCGGUUGGGGGUUGAGAAAUGAAAUCAUUGGGAGUGUUUUUACAGGUUUUGAAGAACUGGUUUUUCCCAAUUAUAGACGGUACUCUGCCGAAAUU